rnacentral:tRNA from 1 species
GAAGGUAUAGCUCAGUGGUAGAGUGUAUGCCUAGCAAGCACAAGGUCCUGCGUUCAAUCCCCAGCACUUCCA